ACCUACGCCGCGUGAAUUUGCAAAGGUGUUUGCAUUUUACGCGUCGUUUUCGAUUUUUUUUCUAAUCCACCGAUGAUUGUUUUUUUUUUUUUUUCACCUCCUGGGUCCUCGAUGGAAACUAUGUUAGACGAUCUCAGUUGAUGGCAGGCAAUGAAAACGAGUAAUUGGAACUCGAAGAAGGUUAAUACGCGAUAGAUCGAUUUGACAUGUUUUGGAACAAUGAUACAUACGUUAGAGAACGCACUUCCGUUUUUAAUACAAUUUGAGAUUUUUCAGAGACGGUACGAAUUUUCUACGGACAUUGUUUGAUCAAUCGGUGAUUUCUUUUAUCUACUUGAUCUCCGAUGGAAACUAUCGAUAUUAGACGAUCUCAGUCAACGACAGGACAAUGAAAAUGAGUAAUUGAAACUCGAAGAAGGUUAAUACGCGAUAGAUCGAUUCGACAUGUUUUUGAACAAUGAUACGUACGUUAGAGAACGCACUUCCGUUUUUAAUACAGUUUGAGAUUUUUCAGAGACGGUACGAAUUUUCCACGGAUAGUGUUUGAUCAGUCAGUGAUUUCUUUGUCUCCUUGAUCUUCGAUGGAAAUUAUCCAGACGAAUAUUAGACAAUCUCACAAUCAGUCAACGACAGAACAAUGAAAACGAAUAAUUGGAACUCGAGGAAGGUUAAUACGCGAUAGACAUGUUUUUGAACAAUGAUAUGUACGUUAAAGAACGCACUUCCGUUUUUAAUACGGUUUGAGAUCUUUCAGAGGUACGGUACGAAUUUUCCACGGAUAUUGUUUGAAGAAUAGAAACGAUCACUUACACAGGUAGUACUGCGCAUUUUCCAUUUUCCGUCAUUUCCUGCUUUACGGAGUAAAUUACGAUUGAGUGAUGGACACGAAGCAUCUAAUAAUCGCUGAAUGAAACCCGUAUUUUUCGCGCAAUCAGUGAAUCCAUUAUACCGUGCUCGUGCCACGAACACAGUUUCAAAAGUAGCAAGAAAAGAUUACACGUACGAGUAAGAGAGACAGAUAAUACAGAGAUCAAAUUACGUUGUACGGAGAAGUAACUGAGUAUUUUGAUUUGAGGAGGAAUCCGUAGACCAUUUCGACUCCAUGGAGACUUUGCAGAGUGCGCGUUUACUUUUGAAAGCAUGUAAACACCAUAGGCAUCGAAGACCAUUCUGCCAGUUGGAUGAUUUAUUGGAGUAGAAGUGAUUAAUGCGAGGAACAAUUUUAUUUAAAUUAACUAUAGUGAUCGAUAAUUCGUCGCUAUAUAUAGGUAUUAUUAAGUGGUUUAAUAAAGCGCGCGUUGUUAAAGCGCUGUGGAAGAAGUGUUAUGGAAGGUCUCUGCUGCACACCGUUCUCAUUGCCUUCGUUUCUUUUUUAACAAGACCUUAAUAUAAUAUUCAACUGAAAGAACGGGAGUAAUAGCGAGGAUUUCAGAAACGUUGUUUGAAAAUUACGAAAUCACGAGAAAUGAUUAUUUAGCAAAAGACUUGCCAAACUUCUUGUUUGAUCAGCGUAUAAAAUAGGUAAGUAAUAAAAAUAGGUGACACUUUCGGUAAGAUUUUUUUCGUUGUCGAAAUGAAGCUGGUCGGUGUAAUCGGGACAAAAAUUCCUGUGAAUUCUUGUCAUUGGUUCAAGAGCGGCUCGUCACGCGAACAACGUCGGCUCGCCGCUGUACACCAAACUCUUAUGUAAGGCUCGUCAUGCGAAUGCAUUUGUUUAUUUGGGCUAUUGCUUAGUUGUUUGUAGGGGCCGAUGUUUUUAGGAAAGCGACGAUACCCAUGCGCAACGAUACACACGGUUGUGCGCGUUAGCGCGGAAAUUGAAUUACCUUUGUGCGAUCGCUGCGAUGAAAGCGAGACCGGAUUGUACCAUCUUGCAAACAGUCUUUCAAUUAAACGCAGCUACGAAGUACAAUUUGCACGUCAAAGACGUCUCGAUGGUAACGUUCCCGUUGGUUUUGUUUUAAAAACGCGCUGCCUCAUUGAUAGUGACGCUGCUCGUUAGAAAAAAGAAAGUCGAGGAAGCGCUCGAUGAUGCUCAAUAAUCAAGAGAUCAAUGAGCUGAGAUCAGUGAGACAUGGAUAAUUUUACAAAACAAUUGAGGAAAAAAGAAAUGCAACACGCACUGGACACGAAUCAAGAGAUUAAUGUUUGUUUUAUUUUAGUGCAGUAAAGGAGAGAGGAAAUUUAUUUCCAGUGACAAGAUCGAGUUGAUCGAGAUUAUCUUGAAGGAGUUUUUUUUCUUUUUUUUUUCUAACAAACACCGUGACAAUGGAACGAAGAAAGUUGAAGUGUCCCGUUAGAACGUUCUUCGUGAAAACUUGUUUGCAAUUUCAAGUAAGUCUUGCCGAAGUGCGAAGAAAUAGUUUGUGUUGAGGAGAUGAGCCUGGCUAGCGUGAGAUUAUGUUUGUUCAGUCGAAUCUUGGACGAAACGGCCGCGGCCCGUGAUCAGAAUUUUGAUGGAAAGGCAGUGGCGAUUUCAUGAGUAGACGCGCGUUCGCUUCCUGUUCAAGAUUUACGUGCAACACAAACGCUACGCUUCCGCCCACAUUCAAUGAAAAUUUCCAAGACAUUCGCACGCCAUUUAAUCAAGUUAACCCCAGCCUUCGUUCCCAAUGACGAACGUGAUUUCGUCUCGUUUGUUCCUUUGAUGAUACAAAAUAGAAAAACGUGUACACAUGCAAAAUAGAAGAGUUCAAAGCAUCGAACGUCCAACAGUCUAUUGGAAGGAAUUUGUGCGUAUAUAAAUUCAAAGGAGCAAGGUAGUUUUUUUUUUUAUUUAAGAUUGUUAUCACCUUGAUAUGCCAGAUCGAAUUAAGAUCUCGCACAGAGAAGGUUUCGAUCGUGGGAAGUAUAAAUUGCGUUAAAAUCCGGCUAAUCAAAUUUAAAUGAUAUUCGGCCUUUAUUAAGGUUUCCCGCAAGUUUCGCACAUGUCUUUAACACACACCGUCAUUAUCAUAAUCGUUACAAACACUGACACUGUUGUACAAGCGAGAACAAUUCAAUUAACUGCGUGCAAACUUUUAUCAUUGAAUAUCAAUGGUCUCAUUAUCAUUUAGCUGUUUGUUAUGAUCUCAAUUGUUUUCAUUAUUAGCCACGUAAACGUGCUGUAUAGGCAGAGGCAAAAUCUUACAUACAAAAUUUCGACGAGAUAAAGAAAUUUUAAAAAGAUCUUUAGAGUCUUUAAAAACUAUCGGAUUAACCUUGCUGUCCUGGUCAAUCCUCGGAGAGUACAGGCCCCGCAAACAAGAAAACGAAAGGUAUUAAGAGAAGAAAAAGAGCGUUCGAAAACAAGGUUAAAAACAAGCACGAUGAAAAGAAAAAAAAGGGAGAAUAGAGAAACGGAAUGAAAGAAGAAACGUAAGAAGAGAUGAAAAAUAAGUGGAAGAAGAAAAAAAGAAAAAUGAGUGAGGAAUAAGAAGGGGGCUUUGCUCGCGUCUGAAGACGACCCUCGGUGAAAAUGCAAUUUCGGUUCUUGUCUGGAGACGACGUAGCUACCAUGGGCUCAUCUUCCUGGCGUCGUACCCCCUUCAACAUUGUUGAAGACACAGCCUCUCGUGCACACAGAAGUUCUUCUCUCUGGCGUGUUUCAGGAGAUGAAAGGCUCCCGUGGCUAUCAAAGGGAAAGGGAAGAGAGGCAAAGGCCCCACCCGACAAUGGCCCUGAGCCCCAAGGUUUUCAGGCUCGACGUCCAGGCUUCGGAGGUCCAGUCGUCUGCUAUUCCAAUCGUCGAGCUAUUCCCAUUUUUUCACAUCAGAACUGUUGUGUGUUUUCUAGUCAUCAUCUGGAAUUUUCCUGGGAGGAG